UUCCUGUUCAGACGUCCCCGGGCCUCUGGAGUUGGGGAGGCCAAGGUCAGCAAGCCCUUCAGGAGAGAAAGUGAACAGUCCCCUUCCCUGGACGGGGUCCAGCCGGCCCAGAACGGUCUUGUCCCGGGUGAGGUCUACCUGACGCAGAUGCGGGGGACCUACGAUGGACCCUCACCCACCAGGGGGAGGGACGUCCUGGAUUACAGGAGCCGCCCCAGAGCCCAGGGAUUUACAUCCUCCCAGGCCACCCUUCACCAGGGACUGACCCCGGGAGGGAUGAAAGACGAGUUCCCCUGCUGGGGGUCAGGACAAGUUCAAAGGUCACAUAGCGCUCACAUCGCCCCUUGAGAUCAUGAAUGUGAGCUCUGACCAGAGCCCCCAGGGCUAAGCACAGUUCCUGCACCUAGAAGGCUCUCAGGAAGGACACCUUCAUGGGCCGACGUCAAGAAGCCCAAUUAAAGCAGGCCCAAGUUUUAUUAGACCAGAUUCUGCCCAGAUGGUCAAACCACCAGCUACAGCAGGGCUGAGAGUGAGAUUCUCCAAAGUAUUGGAGUCUUAUUGAAAAUCAUGUUUCAUUGUUGCUUCUGGUAAAAGCAAGACAUACUUGUUAUUACCA